CCCAGACUCCUACGGGAGGCAGCAGUGAGGAAUAUUGGUCAAUGGGCUUACGCCUGAACCAGCCAAGUCGCGUGAGGGAAGACUGCCCUAUGGGUUGUAAACCUCUUUUGUCAGGGAGCAAUUGGCGCUACGUGUAGCGUUAUCGAGAGUACCUGAAGAAAAAGCAUCGGCUAACUCCGUGCCAGCAGCCGCGGUAAUACGGAGGAUGCGAGCGUUAUCCGGAUUUAUUGGGUUUAAAGGGUGCGUAGGCGGAAUGCCAAGUCAGCGGUAAAAUCGCGGGGCUCAACCUCGCUCCGCCGUUGAAACUGGCUGUCUUGAGAUGUCGAGAGGUAUGCGGAAUGCGCAGUGUAGCGGUGAAAUGCUUAGAUAUUGCGCAGAACUCCGAUUGCGAAGGCAGCCUUCCGGCGCCCUACUGACGCUGAGGCACGAAAGUGCGGGGAUCGAACAGGAUUAGAUACCCCAGUA
rnacentral:rRNA from 1 species